rnacentral:rRNA from 1 species
CCUACGGGAGGCAGCAGUGAGGAAUAUUGGUCAAUGGAAGAGAGCCUGAACCAGCCAAGCAGCGUGAAGGAUGACGGCCCUAUGGGUUGUAAACUGCUUUUAUAUGGGAAUAAAACGUUCCACGUGUGGGGUUUUGUAUGUACCGUAUGAAUAAGGAUCGGCUAACUCCGUGCCAGCAGCCGCGGUAAUACGGAGGAUCCGAGCGUUAUCCGGAUUUAUUGGGUUUAAAGGGAGCGUAGGUGGUUUGUUAAGUCAGUUGUGAAAGUUUGCGGCUCAACCGUAGAAUUGCAGUUGAGACUGGAAGUCUUGAGUACAGUAGAGGUAGGCGGAAUUCGUGGUGUAGCGGUGAAAUGCUUAGAUAGCACGCAGAACUCCGAUUGCGAAGGCAGUUCACUGGACUGCAACUGACACUGAGGCACGAAAGUGUGGGUAUCAAACAGGAUUAGAUACCCCAGUAGUC